rnacentral:misc_RNA from 1 species
AACAUCGCGCACCUGCGGGAACCUGCGGAAGGAUCAUUACCGAGUGCGGGUCCCCUCGCGGGGCCCAACCUCCCACCCGUGUCUACCGUCACCUGUUGCUUCGGCGGGCCCGCCUUCGUGCCGCCGGGGGGCCCUCUGCGCCCCCGGGCCCGCGCCCGCCGAAGACUCUAGGAACACUGAAUGAAGGAUGCCGUCUGAGUCAAACGACACAAUCGUUAAAACUUUCAACAAUGGAUCUCA